rnacentral:rRNA from 1 species
UACGGAGGGGGCUAGCGUUGUCCGGAUUUAUUGGGCGUAAAGAGCGUGUAGGCGGCUUGGUAGGUCCGCUGUGAAAACUCGAGGCUCAACCUCGAGAUGUCGGCGGAAACCACUUGGCUAGAGUCCGGAAGAGGAGAGUGGAAUUCCCGGUGUAGCGGUGAAAUGCGCAGAUAUCGGGAAGAACACCUAUGGCGAAGGCAGCUCUCUGGGACGGUACUGACGCUGAGACGCGAAAGCGUGGGGAGCGAACAGG